rnacentral:rRNA from 1 species
UACGGGGGGGCAAGCGUUGUUCGGAAUUACUGGGCGUAAAGGGCCAGUAGGCGGCCAACUAAGUCGGAUGUGAAAUCCCCAGGCUUAACUUGGGAACUGCAUCCGAUACUGGAUGGCUUGAAUUCGGGAGAGGGAUGCAGAAUUCCAGGUGUAGCGGUGAAAUGCGUAGAUAUCUGGAGGAAUACCGGUGGCGAAGGCGGCAUCCUGGACCGAGAUUGACGCUGAACGGCGAAAGCUAGGGGAGCAAACGGG